rnacentral:rRNA from 1 species
UGAGCAAUCUGCCCUUCUCAUCGGAAUAAGCGUUGGAAACGACGUCUAAUGCCGAAUACGACCUCCUUUCGCAUGAUCGGAGGUGGAAAGCUCCGGCGGAGAAGGAUGAGCUCGCGGCCUAUCAGCUAGUUGGUGUGGGUAAUGGCCCACCAAGGCGACGACGGGUAGCCGGCCUGAGAGGGUGACCGGCCACACUGGAACUGAGACACGGCCCAGACUCCGUACGGGAGCAG